CACGAGUCUAACUCAGCCUACACCCUUGCUGCACAGCAACCCUCCAGCAGUAGAAGAGGCGUCUCUUUUGGGGGUAUUUCUGGAAGAAACAGGAAGAGAAAAAGAUGACGGUUCAUAACCUGUACAUCUUUGAUCGUAACGGAAGCUGUUUGCACUAUGGGGAGUGGAACCGCAAGAAACAGGCCGGCAUCUCCAAGGAGGAGGAGUUUAAGCUGAUGUAUGGGAUGCUGUUCUCCAUUAGAUCCUUCUGCAGCAAGAUGUCUCCCCUGGAUAUGAAGGAUGGUUUCCUGACCUUUCAGACCAGCAAGUAUAAACUCCACUACUACGAGACAGCUACUGGCAUCAAGAUCAUAAUGAACACAGACCUGGGAGUUCCCAACGCUAGAGAUAUACUGCACCAGAUAUACAGCACGCUGUAUGUAGAGUACAUAGUGAAGAAUCCUCUGUGUGUUCUGGGGGAGCAGCUGUCCUCUGACAUCUUCUCUACGAGACUGGACCUCUACAUCAGAGCCCUGCCCUUCUUCAGCCCCCGCGCUGCAUAACACACACACACACACACACACACACACACACACACACACACACCGCACGCAAACCAAACAGGCACGCACACACAUUUUGGGGGGUGGGAUUGUCUGGGGGAAGUGAGGGGGUUGUCUGGGGGAAGUGAGGGGGGGUUGUCUGGGGGAAGUGAGGGGGGGGUUGUCAUGUAUUUAUUAGUUAGUAACAUGUCUGAAUGUUGGGUCCAUGUCUUUAAUAGAACCAUUACAGUAGACCUGAACAACAUUAUUCCAUGUUUCUGUUUCUGUUCUGUGAGAGGAGCACACACACACACACACACACACACACACACUGAACACACACACACUGAACACACACACACACACACUGAACACACACACACUGAACACACACACACACACACUGAACACACACACACACACACUGAACACACACACACACACACUGAACACACACACACUGAACACACACACACACACACACACACACACACACACACACACACACACACACACACACACACUGAACACACUCACACACACACACACGCACGCACGCACGCACGCACACACACUGAACACACUCACACUAACACACACACACACGCGCGCGCACACACACACACACACACACACUGAACACACACACACACACUG
rnacentral:lncRNA from 1 species